UUGUGGGGGUCUCUGGGUGGUGUGGCACUGGGCACAGGGAGUUGGAGGGGUGCUAGGCAGGGGCUGUGGGGGGGUCUCUGGGUGGUGUGGCACUGGGUGUAGGGAGUUGGAGGGGUGCUAGGCAGGGGGGUGUGGGGGGGUCUCUGGGUGGUGUGGCACUGGGCAUAGGGAGUUGGAGGGGUGCUGGGCAGGGGGUUUGUGGGGGUCUCUGGGUGGUGUGGCAGUGGGCAUAGGGAGCCAGAGGGGUGCUGGGCAGGGGUGAGUGGAGGGGUCUCUGA